rnacentral:tRNA from 1 species
GCCUUCGUGGUGUAACGGUAGCACACUCGGCGCACAUUCCAGAGGUUCGGGUUCGAGUCCCGGCGAGGGUA